CCUACGGGAGGCAGCAGUGAGGAAUUUUCCGCAAUGGGCGAAAGCCUGACGGAGCAAUGCCGCGUGAAGGAUGAAGGCCUAUGGGUUGUAAACUUCUUUUCUCAGAGAAGAAAUUUUGACGGUAUCUGAGGAAUAAGCAUCGGCUAACUCUGUGCCAGCAGCCGCGGUAAGACAGAGGAUGCAAGCGUUAUCCGGAAUGAUUGGGCGUAAAGCGUCUGUAGGUGGCUUAAAAAGUCUCCUGUCAAGGAUCAGGGCUUAACCCUGGGCCGGCAGGAGAAACUCUUAGGCUAGAGUUUGGUAGGGGCAGAGGGAAUUCCCGGUGGAGCGGUGAAAUGCGUAGAGAUCGGGAGGAACACCAAAGGCGAAAGCACUCUGCUGGGCCACAACUGACACUGAGAGACGAAAGCGAGGGGAGCAAAAGGGGAUUAGAUACCCCCGUAGUCCUCGCCGUAAACGAUGGAUACUAGAUGUUGGAUAGGUUAAAGCAUUCAGUAUCGUAGCUAACGCGUGAAGUAUCCGCCUGGGGAGUAUGCNCGCAGAGAGAACGUACGAAGAAGUAGACGACGAGAGACGUGACGACGACGACGACGAGGGAGUAGG
rnacentral:rRNA from 1 species